AUUGAACGCUGGCGGCAUGCCUUACACAUGCAAGUCGAACGGCAGCACGGGAGCUUGCUCCUGGUGGCGAGUGGCGAACGGGUGAGUAAUAUAUCGGAACGUACCCUAGAGUGGGGAUAACGCAGCGAAAGUUGCGCUAAUACCGCAUACGAUCUACGGAUGAAAGUGGGGGAUCGCAAGACCUCAUGCUCAUGGAGCGGCCGAUAUCUGAUUAGCUAGUUGGUGGGUAAAGGCCUACCAAGGCUUCGAUCAGUAGCUGGUCUGAGAGGACGACCAGCCACACUGGAACUGAGACACGGUCCAGACUCCUACGGGAGGCAGCAGUGGGGAAUUUUGGACAAUGGGCGAAAGCCUGAUCCAGCAAUGCCGCGUGAGUGAAGAAGGCCUUCGGUUGUAAA
rnacentral:rRNA from 1 species